GAUGAACGCUGGCGGCGUGCCUAAUACAUGCAAGUCGAGCGAAUGGAUUAAGAGCUUGCUCUUAUGAAGUUAGCGGCGGACGGGUGAGUAACACGUGGGUAACCUGCCCAUAAGACUGGGAUAACUCCGGGAAACCGGGGCUAAUACCGGAUAACAUUUUGAACCGCAUGGUUCGAAAUUGAAAGGCGGCUUCGGCUGUCACUUAUGGAUGGACCCGCGUCGCAUUAGCUAGUUGGUGAGGUAACGGCUCACCAAGGCAACGAUGCGUAGCCGACCUGAGAGGGUGAUCGGCCACACUGGGACUGAGACACGGCCCAGACUUCCACGGGAGGCAGCAGUAGGGAAUCUUCCGCAAUGGACGAAAGUCUGACGGAGCAACGCCGCGUGAGUGAUGAAGGCUUUCGGGUCGUAAAACUCUGUUGUUAGGGAAGAACAAGUGCUAGUUGAAUAAGCUGGCACCUUGACGGUACCUAACCAGAAAGCCACGGCUAACUACGUGCCAGCAGCCGCUUGUAA
rnacentral:rRNA from 1 species